rnacentral:lncRNA from 1 species
CCCACGCUAAUCAUUUGGAGCAAAUGCAGAACAAUCCAAAGCACAUAAAAUCAUGAAUUAAUCUAAUAGUAAUUAACAAUUGCAAUAAAACAAAAAUAAUGAAAUUCCUUCAAUUUUGCCUAUGGGAUUACACCAAUUAUUCGUUCCUUUACCUUUUACAUGUUUUCAUCAAUUUCUUCCUCCACCAUUUCACAAAAAGAAGAAGAAGGAAAUACACACUUAUAUGUGUUGUUUCCAAUAGAAUAAACACAAUAAAUUCAAACUUGCAAUUCAGCCUCAUGUUUCAAUGUACGCUCCUGUAAUUAAACAAACCAAUAAUAGCCAUCAAACAAAAGUAAUGACAAAACAGGUGAUAUAUGAACAAUUUCCAAUAAUUCUUAUUCCCAAGCAAAUCUGCAAAUUUAUAUUAUUUAAUCAAGAAGCAGUACCUGGACAGUAAAAUAAUAUGGUAAGAAAAUAUAUCUCUGGCUUUGAAAAAUUGAUAAUAACUAUUUCAGCAACAAAUUUGGUAAAGCACAGCAGACUCAGCACCAAAUUAAAGCGUCUUUGAGCUAAAAUACUCCUUAAAACCCCAGGAAAUACAGAGUAUAGCAGUAAAUCAAAAUAGCCUCGAAAUUCUUCUUCGCUACAAUUUGAAUUUCUAGAUCUAAAAGAACAGCUUAGUCACUCCGCUGCUAUUUUUUUCGAACUCUUAAGCUCUCAUAUCUUCGUUUUAAUUCUCAAAAAUCUAGAUUUGUUGUUGAAGUUCUUUUGAAUUUUGAAGGUUGCUUCGAUUUUUUCGUGUGUCGAAGAAUGGGAGAGGUCAGAAGAGAAUAAUGUGUUAGAGGAGGGUGGGCAGCUAGGUUUUUGGGUGUAGAAGAAGGAGGGGUCGGUGGCUGGGUUUCAUCCAAAAAAAAUAGGAGGGGUGGCGUCGUCCUUCUCUGCUGAAGAAGGAGGAGUUAGGGGCGCUAGGGUUUUCUUUUUGGGGUGGGGGUCCGAUAUUUUGUGUCUG